CGGCCUCGUGUCAAUGUUUAAAGUCAAAGGAUGGAAAUUUACCUUGGAAAGUCACUCGAGCGAAGAAGAGAGUUUCUUGGUUGCCCCUGUGCCCAGGAUCUGGGGAAAAGGACAGAGAAUGAACAUGGAAUACUUCCGAGGCUUGGGUGACCCACAUUUUGACUCCUCCCCUGAGGCAAGAAGAACCACAUUACCUUCCCAUUCAGGAUAUUCAGCCUAGAAGCCUGGGUGCCUUUGAGUGUGCCCUCACGCUCCUCAGAGGACAUUCAGCCUUCUUGAUAUUCUCGUCUGUCCACGGACUGUGGAAGGUUCCAGAGUGCAUGUCUGGUGUAUGGAAGCUUUGAGCAAUUUGUCCAGGAUUAUUUCUUGGUCAGAGUCCGCCCCCUGAAGUUUGAGAAAGCUUUUCACGUUGUGACCAGCCACUAGUUACGCUCACAGCUGGCCCUCGGUAGUAUAUUCUGACUGUGAUUGGGACCAGGAGAAGGAAACUGUGCAGGGAAGAUCCUCCAGGAUU